AUACGUAGGUGGCGAGCGUUGUCCGGAAUUACUGGGUGUAAAGGGAGUGUAGGCGGGAGAGCAAGUCAGAAGUGAAAAUUAUGGGCUUAACCCAUAACCUGCUUUUGAAACUGUACUUCUUGAGUGAAGUAGAGGCAAGCGGAAUUCCUAGUGUAGCGGUGAAAUGCGUAGAUAUUAGGAGGAACACCAGUGGCGAAGGCGGCUUGCUGGGCUUUUACUGACGCUGAGGCUCGAAAGCGUGGGGAGC
rnacentral:rRNA from 1 species